rnacentral:rRNA from 1 species
AGCUCCAGUAGCGUAUAUUAAUGUUGUUGCAGUUAAAAAGCUCGUAGUUGGAUUUCUGACUCGAUGGGCUGACCCGUUUUCUAAUGGAGAAUGUGUGUCGUGCUACGUCGGUCAUCUUUCCAGGGAACUGCUCUACCCUUCACUGGGUCGGAGUCGCGAUCUGGAACUUUUACUUUGAAAAAAUUAGAGUGUUCAAAGCAGGCUUGUGCGUAUGGAUACAUUAGCAUGGAAUAAUAACUUAGGACUUUGGUUCUAUUUUGUUGGUUCUAGGACUAAAGUAAUGAUUGAUAGGGAUAGUUGGGGGUGCUAGUAUUCAGCGGCCAGAGGUGAAAUUCUUGGAUUCGCUGAAGACUAACUUAUGCGAAAGCAUUCACCAAGGAUGUCUUCUUUA